UUAGGAAUAAUUUUAGGGAUA
ensembl:piRNA 21ur-8284 ncRNA